rnacentral:rRNA from 1 species
AGUUUUUUUAACUGCGGCUCAGCAAUCUCGCCCCUCAGCUCAGGGACAAGCCCUUGUUAUUCGGGUUUCUAAAACCGGAUAACACUCUGUCCCGCAUGGGACGGGGUUAAAAGCUCCGGCGGUGAAGGAUGAGCCCGCGGCCUAUCAGCUUGUUGGUGGGGUAAUGACCUACCAAGGCGACGACGGGUAGCCGGCCUGAGAGGGCGACCGGCCACAAUGGGACUGAGACACGGCCCAGACUCCUACGGGAGGCAGCAGUGGGGAAUAUUGCACAAUGGGCGAAAGCCUGAUGCAGCGACGCCGCGUGAGGGAUGACGGCCUUCGGGUUGUAAACCUCUUUCAGCAGGGAAGAAGCGAAAGUGACGGUACCUGCAGAAGAAGCGCCGGCUAACUACGUGCCAGCAGCCGCGGUAAUACGUAGGGCGCAAGCGUUGUCCGGAAUUAUUGGGCGUAAAGAGCUCGUAGGCGGCUUGUCACGUCGGAUGUGAAAAGCCCGGGGCUUAACCCCGGGUCUGCAUUCGAUACGGGCUAGCUAGAGUGUGGUAGGGGAGAUCGGAAUUCCUGGUGUAGCGGUGAAAUGCGCAGAUAUCAGGAGGAACACCGGUGGCGAAGGCGGAUCUCUGGGCCAUUACUGACGCUGAGGAGCGAAAGCGUGGGGAGCGAACAGGAUUAGAUACCCUGGUAGUCCACGCCGUAAACGUUGGGAACUAGGUGUUGGCGACAUUCCACGUCGUCGGUGCCGCAGCUAACGCAUUAAGUUCCCCGCCUGGGGAGUACGGCCGCAAGGCUAAAACUCAAAGGA